rnacentral:rRNA from 1 species
GGGGAAUUUUGCGCAAUGGGGGAAACCCUGACGCAGCAACGCCGCGUGGGUGAUGAAGGCCUUCGGGUCGUAAAGCUCUGUCUGGAGGGAAGAAAUGAUUGGGAGCUAAUACCUCCUGAUCUUGACGGUACCUCUGAAGGAAGCACCGGCUAACUCCGUGACAGCAGCCGCGGUAAUACGGAGGGUGCAAGCGUUGUUCGGAAUUAUUGGGCGUAAAGCGCGUGUAGGCGGUCUUUUAAGUCUGAUGUGAAAGCCCCGGGCUCAACCUGGGAAGUGCAUUGGAAACUGGGAGGCUUGAGUACGGGAGAGGACAGUGGAAUUCCUAGUGUAGGAGUGAAAUCCGUAGAUAUUAGGAGGAACACCGGUGGCGAAGGCGGCUCUCUGGACCGAUACUGGCGCUGAGACGCGAAAGCGUGGGUAG